rnacentral:rRNA from 1 species
AUUGAACGCUGGCGGCAUGCCUUACACAUGCAAGUCGAACGGCAGCACGGGAGCAAUCCUGGUGGCGAGUGGCGAACGGGUGAGUAAAGUAUCGGAACGUGCCCAGUCGUGGGGGAUAACGUAGCGAAAGGUACGCUAAUACCGCAUACGAGCUAUGGAUGAAAGCGGGGGAUCGCAAGACCGCGCGCGAUUGGAGCUGCCGAUAUCAGAUUAGGUAGUUGGUGGGGUAAAGGCCCACCAAGCCGACGAUCUGUAGCUGGUCUGAGAGGACGACCAGCCACACUGGGACUGAGACACGGCCCAGACUCCUACGGGAGGCAGCAGUGGGGAAUUUUGGACAAUGGGCGAAAGCUUGAUCCAGCCAUACCGCGUGCAGGAUGAAGGCCUUCGGGUUGUAAACUGCUUUUGUACGGAACGAAAAGGACUGCCCUAAUACGGUGGUCCCAUGACGGUACCGUAAGAAUAAGCACCGGCUAACUACGUGCCAGCCGCCGCGGUAA